AUAUCUUCUCGGCUAUUUAGCUAAGAUCAUGUUUUUAAACUGUUUUCAUCAGAGUAACUCCUGAUGUGAGCCCUCGGGCUCGUCAAUAGUAAGUUUUGGGCUUUGCUCGUUUCCUUGGAGUUCCACGCCUUCCAGGGGAGCGGGCUUUUU
rnacentral:snRNA from 1 species